GUUUAUCCUCAUUUUACAAAUGAGAAAUCUGAUGCUCGGAGAUUAAGUCAGCAAGACAGUCUGUCUGAAGCCGGCCUGUGAGCCUAACUACUGCACUACAUUGCCUCCGACCUCUGAGGUCACAGAGAGCUGGGAGGAAGGGUCAUGGUCUAUCUGUGGCCCACCCACCUGGACUGAGUGUGUCUGUGAUCCCCACUCCAAAGCUGUGAGUUGGCUCCGUCCGCCUCCUCUGAGGCUGGUCCUCCCUCUCUGCAGCCUGGCAGGGCAGGCUCGCCCAGGCCCACGUGUGGGCAGAUGCUCCCAGGGAGACCCGGCUCAUUUCUGCCCUUGCCAAAGACUCAGCAGUUUCCCUGACAGAAACGACUCCCCAGCAGUUCUUCGCUCCAGCUCAGGCACCUUAGAGCUGCCUCAGCCAACAGGGUAGCCGGCCACUGGGCACACAAGGCUCGGGAGCACUUGGAACCUGAUUAGUUUUGCCUGUUCUGGAACUUCACAUACACGGAACCAUACGGUACGGGCUCUCGUGUGUCAACUGUUCCUGCUCAACAUAAUGCUUUCGAGAUUUUUACUUUGUUUUUGUUGUCUAUGCCGCAUCUGAUGCAGCACGGUGGCAGGGCUGGUGCUGCAAAUGGCCAGCUGAGCUCCGGUGCCUUCUUCCGCUCAAGUCUGCCUGUGAUUGUCCAGGGCACCUCCCAGCCCGGCCUGGGGGAGAUGGCUAAUGCAGCCUGAGAAUGGAUUUGGUGCCUCAAGCCAGAUUACCUCUCCCUGCCUUGCCAUCCCUUUGAAAACUGCCUCUUGAGCCAGGCUCUUCCCUCACACAGAACUUCGAGGAAUCAAUACUCGCCAGAAAGACGUUUACCACCCUCCUGAUGCCAGGAAGAGCCUUUCUACUGUUCAAAUCCAUUCCCAGAAAGCACAGGGACUGCCUGGGCAAGGCCUGGGUGGGGCCAGGGAGACACGGCCCUGCGCUUAUCAUCAUCACCUGCAUCCUGUGUGACCUUGAGCCUAUGGGGUGACCAGCACCGGCCCAUGGCCUCCCAUGGUUGUAAGGAAGGGAGUGAAAGCCCUUGGAGAUGACAACAGCAGGAUCUCGAGCGGAAAGACAUGGAUGACUCUCCUUCCUCCUGGGAUGUGUGUCCUCCUUGCUUCCUGUGACACCUCCUGCUCCUGGCUCUUCUCCCACCUCUCUGACUGCUCCUCCCCAGCCUCCUUUGCAGAAUUCUCCUGCCUCAAUUGUUGGAGUGCCUCGGGUCUCCGGAUUCAACCCUCCUCUCUCUCACCCUCUUCACCACAUUAGGAUCACCCGGG
ensembl:lncRNA